rnacentral:rRNA from 1 species
UUAUGCGUAAAACGGAUUCGUCCGCCCAAGGAUGGGUCUGCGGCCUAUCAGGUAGUAGUGGGUGUAAUGUACAUACUAGCCAACAACGGGUACGGGUUGUGAGAGCAAGAGCCCGGAGAUGGAUUCCGAGACAUGAAUCCAGGCCCUACGGGGCGCAGCAGGCGCGAAAACUUUACAAUGCGGGAAACCGUGAUAAGGGAACACCGAGUGCCAGCAUCAUAUGCUGGCUGUCCAGAUGUGUAAACUACAUCUGUUAGCAAGGGCCGGGCAAGACCGGUGCCAGCCGCCGCGGUAACACCGGCGGCCCGAGUGGUGACCGUUAUUAUUGGGUCUAAAGGGUCCGUAGCCGGUUUGGUCAGUCCUCCGGGAAAUCUGAUAGCUUAACUGUUAGGCUUUCGGGGGAUGCUGCCAGGCUUGGAACCGGGAGAGGUAAGAGGUACUACAGGGGUAGGAGUGAAAUCUUGUAAUCCCUGUGAGACCACCUGUGGCGAAGGCGUCUUACCAGAACGGGUUCGACGGUGAGGGACGAAAGCUGGGGGCACGAACCGGAUUAGAUACCCGGGUAGUCCCAGCCGUAAACUAUGCUCGCUAGGUGUCAGGCAUGGCGCGACCGUGUCUGGUGCCGCAGGGAAGCCGUGAAGCGAGCCACCUGGGAAGUACGGCCGCAAGGCUGAAACUUAAAGGAAUUGGCGGGGGAGCACAACAACGGGUGGAGCCUGCGGUUUAAUUGGAUUCAACGCCGGAA